UCUGGUGAUCAUAGGCGAGAGGAAACACACGUUCCCAUCUCGAACACGCUCGUUAAGCUCUCAGUCGCCGAUGGUAGUACGGCCUCGCUGCCGUGCGAGAGUAGGUAGUUGCCAGUA
rnacentral:rRNA from 1 species